rnacentral:lncRNA from 1 species
UAAUAAAAUUGAGAAUAGAAAUGGGGAAUGUGCCAAAGAGACAACAACCCGACCAUAGAAAAAAAAAAAACAACAGCAGAAGGUCACCAACAGGUCUUCAAUGUAGCGAGAUAUUCCCGCACCCGGAGGCGUCCUUCAGCUGGCCCCUAAACAAAUAUAUACUAGUUCAGUGAUAAUGAACGCCAUACUAAUUUCCAAAUUGUACACAAGAAACUAAAAUUAAAAUAAUGCAAGACUAACAAAGGCCAGAGGCUCCUGACUUAAGACUGGCGCAAAAAUGCGGCGGGGUUGAACAUGUUUGUGAGAUCUCAACCCUCCCCCUAUACCUCUUGCCAAUGUAGAUAAGUAAACGCACAACAAUACGCACAUUAAAAUUCAGUCCAAGAGAAGUCCGAGUCUGAUGUCAAAAGAUGUAACCAAAGAAAAUAAACAAAAUGACAAUAAUACAUAAAUAACAACAGACUACUAGCAGUUAACUGACAUGCAAGCUCCAGAC